rnacentral:rRNA from 1 species
CCUACGGGGGGCAGCAGUGGGGAAUAUUGCACAAUGGGCGAAAGCCUGAUGCAGCAACGCCGCGUGAGCGAUGAAGGCUUUCGGGUCGUAAAGCCCUGUCCUCAAGGAAGAUAAUGACGGUAUCUGAGGAGGAAGCCCCGGCUAACUACGUGCCAGCAGCCGCGGUAAUACGUAGGGGGCUAGCGUUAUCCGGAAUCACUGGGCGUAAAGGGCGCGUAGGUGGGUUCUUAAGUCAGAGGUGAAAGGCUACGGCUAAACCGUAGUAAGCCUUUGAAACUGGGGAACUUGAGUGCGGGAGAGGAGGGUGGAAUUCCUGGUGUAGCGGUGAAAUGCGUAGAUAUUAAGAGGAACACCAGUUGCGAAGGCGACUCUCUGGACUGUAACUGACACUGAGGCGCGAAAGCGUGGGGAGCAAACAGGAUUAGAUACCCGAGUAGUC